AUACCUUUCUCGGCCUUUUGGCUAAGAUCAAGUGUAGUAUCUGUUCUUAUCAGUUUAAUAUCUGAUACGUGGGCCAAUGGCCCACAUGAUAUUAAAUUAAUUUUUUGAGGGGGAGCGCCCACCACAGUAGCUUGCUGCUGGGGCUCUCGCGCGUCGCCUGGGCGUUGCACUACUGCCUUGGCCUGGCGCACCCCGC